GACAGAGGGUGCAAGCGUUGUUCGGAAUCACUGGGCGUAAAGCGCACGUAGGCGGCUAGGUAAGUCAUAUGUGAAAUCCCUGGGCUCAACCCAGGAACUGCAUCUGAUACUGCCUAGCUUGAGUUCCGGAGAGGUUGGUGGAAUUCCUGGUGUAGAGGUGAAAUUCGUAGAUAUCAGGAGGAACACCGGUGGCGAAGGCGACCAACUGGACGGAAACUGACGCUGAGGUGCGAAAGCGUGGGGAGCAAAC
rnacentral:rRNA from 1 species